rnacentral:rRNA from 1 species
UUAAGCGACUAAGCGUACACGGUGGAUGCCCUGGCAGUCAGAGGCGAUGAAGGACGUGCUAAUCUGCGAUAAGCGUCGGUAAGGUGAUAUGAACCGUUAUAACCGGCGAUUUCCGAAUGGGGAAACCCAGUGUGAUUCGUCACACUAUCAUUAACUGAAUCCAUAGGUUAAUGAGGCGAACCGGGGGAACUGAAACAUCUAAGUACCCCGAGGAAAAGAAAUCAACCGAGAUUCCCCCAGUAGCGGCGAGCGAACGGGGAGGAGCCCAGAGCCUGAAUCAGUGUGUGUGUUAGUGGAAGCGUCUGGAAAGGCGUGCGAUACAGGGUGACAGCCCCGUACACAAAAAUGCACAUACUGUGAGCUCGAUGAGUAGGGCGGGACACGUGGUAUCCUGUCUGAAUAUGGGGGGACCAUCCUCCAAGGCUAAAUACUCCUGACUGACCGAUAGUGAACCAGUACCGUGAGGGAAAGGCGAAAAGAACCCCGGCGAGGGGAGUGAAAAAGAACCUGAAACCGUGUACGUACAAGCAGUGGGAGCCUCUUAAUGGGGUGACUGCGUACCUUUUGUAUAAUGGGUCAGCGACUUAUAUUCUGUAGCAAGGUUAACCGAAUAGGGGAGCCGAAGGGAAACCGAGUCUUAACUGGGCGUUAAGUUGCAGGGUAUAGACCCGAAACCCGGUGAUCUAGCCAUGGGCAGGUUGAAGGUUGGGUAACACUAACUGGAGGACCGAACCGACUAAUGUUGAAAAAUUAGCGGAUGACUUGUGGCUGGGGGUGAAAGGCCAAUCAAACCGGGAGAUAGCUGGUUCUCCCCGAAAGCUAUUUAGGUAGCGCCUCGUGAAUUCAUCUCCGGGGGUAGAGCACUGUUUCGGCAAGGGGGUCAUCCCGACUUACCAACCCGAUGCAAACUGCGAAUACCGGAGAAUGUUAUCACGGGAGACACACGGCGGGUGCUAACGUCCGUCGUGAAGAGGGAAACAACCCAGACCGCCAGCUAAGGUCCCAAAGUCAUGGUUAAGUGGGAAACGAUGUGGGAAGGCCCAGACAGCCAGGAUGUUGGCUUAGAAGCAGCCAUCAUUUAAAGAAAGCGUAAUAGCUCACUGGUCGAGUCGGCCUGCGCGGAAGAUGUAACGGGGCUAAACCAUGCACCGAAGCUGCGGCAGCGACACUAUGUGUUGUUGGGUAGGGGAGCGUUCUGUAAGCCUGUGAAGGUGUACUGUGAGGUAUGCUGGAGGUAUCAGAAGUGCGAAUGCUGACAUAAGUAACGAUAAAGCGGGUGAAAAGCCCGCUCGCCGGAAGACCAAGGGUUCCUGUCCAACGUUAAUCGGGGCAGGGUGAGUCGACCCCUAAGGCGAGGCCGAAAGGCGUAGUCGAUGGGAAACAGGUUAAUAUUCCUGUACUUGGUGUUACUGCGAAGGGGGGACGGAGAAGGCUAUGUUGGCCGGGCGACGGUUGUCCCGGUUUAAGCGUGUAGGCUGGUUUUCCAGGCAAAUCCGGAAAAUCAAGGCUGAGGCGUGAUGACGAGGCACUACGGUGCUGAAGCAACAAAUGCCCUGCUUCCAGGAAAAGCCUCUAAGCAUCAGGUAACAUCAAAUCGUACCCCAAACCGACACAGGUGGUCAGGUAGAGAAUACCAAGGCGCUUGAGAGAACUCGGGUGAAGGAACUAGGCAAAAUGGUGCCGUAACUUCGGGAGAAGGCACGCUGAUAUGUAGGUGAAGUCCCUCGCGGAUGGAGCUGAAAUCAGUCGAAGAUACCAGCUGGCUGCAACUGUUUAUUAAAAACACAGCACUGUGCAAACACGAAAGUGGACGUAUACGGUGUGACGCCUGCCCGGUGCCGGAAGGUUAAUUGAUGGGGUUAGCGUAAGCGAAGCUCUUGAUCGAAGCCCCGGUAAACGGCGGCCGUAACUAUAACGGUCCUAAGGUAGCGAAAUUCCUUGUCGGGUAAGUUCCGACCUGCACGAAUGGCGUAAUGAUGGCCAGGCUGUCUCCACCCGAGACUCAGUGAAAUUGAACUCGCUGUGAAGAUGCAGUGUACCCGCGGCAAGACGGAAAGACCCCGUGAACCUUUACUAUAGCUUGACACUGAACAUUGAGCCUUGAUGUGUAGGAUAGGUGGGAGGCUUUGAAGUGUGGACGCCAGUCUGCAUGGAGCCGGCCUUGAAAUACCACCCUUUAAUGUUUGAUGUUCUAACGUUGGCCCCUGACCGGGGUUGCGGACAGUGUCUGGUGGGUAGUUUGACUGGGGCGGUCUCCUCCUAAAGAGUAACGGAGGAGCACGAAGGUUGGCUAAUCCUGGUCGGACAUCAGGAGGUUAGUGCAAUGGCAUAAGCCAGCUUGACUGCGAGCGUGACGGCGCGAGCAGGUGCGAAAGCAGGUCAUAGUGAUCCGGUGGUUCUGAAUGGAAGGGCCAUCGCUCAACGGAUAAAAGGUACUCCGGGGAUAACAGGCUGAUACCGCCCAAGAGUUCAUAUCGACGGCGGUGUUUGGCACCUCGAUGUCGGCUCAUCACAUCCUGGGGCUGAAGUAGGUCCCAAGGGUAUGGCUGUUCGCCAUUUAAAGUGGUACGCGAGCUGGGUUUAGAACGUCGUGAGACAGUUCGGUCCCUAUCUGCCGUGGGCGCUGGAGAACUGAGGGGGGCUGCUCCUAGUACGAGAGGACCGGAGUGGACGCAUCACUGGUGUUCGGGUUGUCAUGCCAAUGGCACUGCCCGGUAGCUAAAUGCGGAAGAGAUAAGUGCUGAAAGCAUCUAAGCACGAAACUUGCCCCGAGAUGAGUUCUCCCUGACUCCUUGAGAGUCCUGAAGGAACGUUGAAGACGACGACGUUGAUAGGCCGGGUGUGUAAGCGCAGCGAUGCGUUGAGCUAACCGGUACUAAUGAACCGUGAGGCUUAACCUU